AUUGAACGCUAGCGGGAUGCUUUACACAUGCAAGUCGAACGAGUGGCGGACGGGUGAGUAAUAUAUCGGAACGUGCCCAGUAGCGGGGGAUAACUACUCGAAACAGUAGCUAAUACCGCAUACACUUGGAGGGGCCCAGAUGGGAUUAGCUAGUUGGUGGGGUAAAGGCUCACCAAGGCAACGAUCCGUAGCUGGUGUGAGAGGACGACCAGCCACACUGGGACUGAGACACGGCCCAGACUCCUACGGGAGGCAGCAGUGGGGAAUGUUGGACAAUGGGGGAAACCCUGAUCCAGCCAUCCCGCGUGUAUGAGAAGGCCUUCGGGUUGUAAAGUACUUUUGGCAGAGAAGCGGUACCUGCAGAAUAAGCACCGGCUAACUCCGUGCCAGCAGCCGCGGUAAUAC
rnacentral:rRNA from 1 species